rnacentral:lncRNA from 1 species
AAGCAAUUCUUUGAUUGAUGGCUCCAACAUGGAUUAAGGUCAAAAGUGGCCCUGGAGACCAAAUUCCCUAGUGAGGAACUGCCACAUAACUUCAUGUGUCUUUUGCUUCUGAAUUAUUUCUUCUAGAAACCACCAACCACAAGCUGUCACGCUGGUAUUAUAUCUACAUAACGUUUAUUCUUCUUACAGCAAAGAGCUGGAGAAAUACAAGUGAGAACCUGUUAUUACAGGUUAAAUUGUGUAACACUCAACUUGCGCUGAGGUCCAGUUUCUUUUUAUUAUGCUCCAAUUUUGUUGAAUGACUAUUGCCUAAAAUAAAUGGGCAAUCGACAGGGGCUUAGAACUAACAGGGAUGCUUAAGUGACUUUUAUGGUAGCAGUAUUUGUUGUAACAGAAUUUGAUCUGUAUUCUAGUUAUUAGUUUUAUUCAUCACAUUGGAAAGUUGGCACCUCCACUGUUCAUGCCAUUAUAUGCAAAGCACUGUAGCAUGAAAGUCACUUACAAAGCUGUGAAAAAAACUCUCUGAACACCAGAGGCUCAUGAAACAAUAAAAGUCAGCUAGGGGGAUAUACACUGUUUGAUUUAGCUAAAUAUUCUGGAUGGUCAAAGGUUUAUUCCUUUUAAUUCCUAAAAGUUUUUUUUUUUAACCAUUGGGAUGUAAAUAUUUCUAAAAUGUUUGAUAUACAUAUUUUUGUCUUCUAAGCAUAGUUUUUUUAUGUAUGGUGCACAGGGUCAUCAUUUUAAAUAGAAUAUUGUCCCAUGAUACAGUGAGGCUCUUAAAGAUUGAGAUGUGUAUAGACUGUUUUUGACACUAAAUAACCCAUAUAUCAGGGCUUUGGAGCUUUGCAGUCUACUCAAAAUUUCCAUUUUCUCUAUUGCUGUCCUCCUUUUUCCUUCUUGUUUCCUCUAAAAGUCUGUUUCUUUCCUUUACAGUUAGAAAUAUGUGUGAAGGAAGAGCAAAUAGGUUCUGAGGAGGUGCCUGAUGACUAGAUGUAUGGCCUUUGUCUUAUGCGUUUGCUUCAUGGUAUUUAUUUCAAUUGGUUGGAAGCCUUGUUUGCUUACUUCUUAAUUCUCAGUCACUUUUGAUGGGUUCAGCAGAGGUUCUAGAUUUUUCUAGUUCUGUCUCAGUUACUCAUUGUCAAACCACUGGUUUAGAUUUUGUGUUCAGGAAAUAGGGAUAGGUAAAGCUAUCAGGUGGCUAAGCCCUAGGUAAAUGAGUUGCCAUGAAUCCUAAAAUAUUGUGAAGGUUGUGGGCCAUUUUUAUAAGGCAAAUGGUAUGCUGUGGCCGUGACAGCUGAACUCAGUAAGUGAACUUUAAAACAGAUAAGCUCCUUUUGCUGUUGUCCCUUUCCAAGAAUAUGAAGCUGGCCUGACGUCAAGAUUCUAACGCUAUAGCAAAAGAAGACAUGGUUUUGCCUCUCGUUGAUUUUCUUAUUUAUGGCCUUGGAAUAAAGAAGAUAAAGCAAGUCUAACAGUUCUCCCUUCCAAAAGUACAGUUUCAGGCCAGAAGAUUUGACUGCUACCCUUAGACUUUCUUUCCCUCACUGUACAUUGCAUUUUACAGGCUAUACAAAGCAAGACCUUCUUUGCAAAAGGCAAACUCCUUUGCCCCAAGGCCAUACUGUACAUGUGUGGGGGUAGUUGUAGGGGGAUCAGUGUUGUUAUUCACCAAUACAAGAUGGAAUCAGUGCAGCUAGGAGAGAAGAGAUUAAGGAAAGAGGCUGUGAAGUCUGCUAGACCUGGGUUUAAAUUCUGGCUUCCCGCUUAUUAGGGUGUAACCGUGGUCACAGUACUUAAUUCUCUAAAUUUGAUUCCUGAGCAACAAAGUGGGGAAUGAUAGUAUUGGUGCUGUUACUAUUAUGAUAAUGUGAAAAACAACAGGAGAGUACCUGGCCCAGAGAAAGAGCUAAGUGACAGCUCUUAUUAACAUAAAUGAAUGAUUUAAACCUGGAGAUUACAAUAGUUAACAAGCACAGACACUUAGUGCAGUCUGUUACUGACUUCAAGCAGUCUUUUGCUUUUGUUUCUAUUUCUGUGACAUCUUCUCUUAUUACGACUUUCUGUUGGGUGUCUCUAACUCUGGUGCCUUGUGAAGGCCAGGAGAUAUUCCAGACAAGCUGAAAUUCUACCUUUUUAUGAGUAUAAAGGAAAUGGGGCCAUGUUGGACCAAACAAAGAGUAAUAAAAUAAAAUAUAGAGUUGUAGCUUUCAGAGGGAAAGAUAAAACAAGAAAGGGCUGGGGCAAUGGAUGUGGUGUUGAGAUACUGGCACCAGGAAGCAGGGAAGAAAACCUCCAAACACAUUGUGGUUUGUUAAAACACUGAAGACUCCUAAGUGCUACAGUGGCAGGCAGUGCCACCCCACCAGGCAGCAGUGUCCUCCGCAACUGGGGAAGAGGAAGUAGGGCCUAAUGAUUGCUCUCGGAGACAGAGAGUCUGCUGUCCUGGGCUUUACCAGCCUGGCUUGUUGGGUGACCUUGAGUGACUUAUCUCCCUCUCUUGGACAAUUUUCUCAAGGUUCUCACACAGUCCCUAGCUAACUAAAAGGGUCUGAUGAAGAUAAAUGUGUUAAAAGAAAAUUUAGAGGAGAGUCCACAAACUGUCCCUCCAGAUACACCUGCUGGUGGGUUUUAGGAUUUUUAAACAUUAAAUUUUAAUGCAUUUAGGCAGGGCUUGGUAUUUUCUAAUUCACACAGUAUCUACCAUCUUGAGUCUUCACAUUUGGCUCCUGAAGGCCUCUGAGUAUAUGACUUCUGAUUUCAAUGCAACCUCUGGUCCUUCAAACCAGCUUGGAAUUGCUUCAUUUACAACUCAUUCUAUGUUUUCAUCAAUUACAUGCAAAUAUGUAUUUCUAAAGUUUCACAAAACAAAGAUUUUGUUGGCCUAACUGUAAUUUGCUCUAAAAGACAUUUUUUUUUCUAGAAAAUAUGGCAAAAAUUACAAUUUUACCUUCCUUCUAGUUCAUCCAAAUUCUAAAACUUUAAUGUUAUUUGAAAACAUAAUUUGGCACCAAGUAUUCUUUAGGUUAUAAUCUAAGUUGCUCAUAAAAUGUAAUCUAGGCCUGGAUCAUUUUACUUUGAGGAGAAAACUUAUCACUAAAUAAUAAUGAUCUUAAGUCUGUUCUUUUGCCACUUCCCAGAGCUCUCUCCUAAGGCACUGUGGAAAAGUCAGGAGUAAAUUAGACUCCCACAUCUAGUAACCAAAACACCAUCAUCUCCAGCAUUACCACAGUCAAGUAUGCAGCUCGUCAUAAAUAUUUACACCUUGCAGGGUCCUUUGUGCACAACUCUGAGAGACAAAUGGCAUUUCCAGUAAUAGUUUAUUGAUUUCCAAAUGCACAGGGGCACCAAGUCCGAACAUCCUGGGAUAGCAGUAAAUCUCUCUUACAAAAUAAUUUACAGUAUGAAAAUGAUAUACUGAAACAUUAACCCAAACGUGUAAUUCCCUUGAAAGAUUCAGUGUUCCCUUGUUUAAUGUAAAGGGUGGAAGGGGAAGAUUCCUAAGGAGGGAAUGUGACUGUGCACAGGAAAAUAGGCAGAGGACAAUGGAUUCAUUGGUUCUCCCCAUUCAUGCAGUGUGGCCUGUCACUGUAGAAAGACUGGUCAGGUUUAACCCUCAUUAAGUAUUAAUCUGCUGUCCCCUCAAAGUCAUAUCAAGCCCAGUAUGGGCUCCGUGGCUUUUUUUGCACCAAUGUAUCCAUAAGUGUCUCCACUUAUUUUCAUUUUUCUGCUCUGGCCCUCGUUCUGCUGUUUCUGGUAUGUUCUCAGUUCCAAAUUAUACUAUCUUAUCUUACCAGGCAGGCCUCCAGAAUCAAGAACUGCCUGAGUCUUAUUUGAAAGAUAGCCAGAAAUUGCUAUGAGUAUCCGACUGAUUCUGGAAACAUUCAUUACCUGCCUCCCUUGGUGACUUCUCUUUAGGGGUUUCAGCAAACCCUGCCACCUGCACCCAGGCAAGACCCAAUUCUGAGCUCUCUAACUUUUACUGACCUGGCAGGAGGGAAGCCUCAUCAUGCUGGGGCUUAAGGCCAAGCAGCAUGCUCCAGCUCUAGGGGAAGGUAGUGCCACUGCAGGAAGCAUCCUAGUUCUUACAUUGAUAAAUGCUGCCGGCAGGAACUUAGAAGCCUGGGCAAAAGCUGCUGCACUGUGUUUAAUGCUUCCCUGGUUAAAGUUUUAUCAGGUACUGAAGACAGCAGGAGUCUAUAAAGCAAAUCUGAAACGCUUUCUAAGUAAAAGCAAAAGUGCUUUCCUUGAGGAUCACAGAGAUAUGAUAAGUUACUGAGACAGGUUGGCAAAUAUUUUUAUAUUUCCAUUUAUAUCCACUGCAUAAAUGCUUGAAUUUCCCAAAUACUGAUUCAAAGUAGUAACAUAUGAUCAGAUAUGGAGAACCAAUGAUCUGUCUAUUGCUAAUAUAAGGCUACUAUUUGGAGAUCAAACAAUGAUUAUUGGGGAAAGACAAUACAAGCUUCCAAAUCCUAAAAUCUUUUUAAUCUUCUGAUACUUAAAUUUUUUCGAGAGUGGCCACUGGUCCUUCUUUUAGGGUACUUUUGUUGGAUAUGAUUGGUGGUUGUAAUUAAUGGUAUGCCAAAUUCUCCAGUCUUUGCAGAGAUAGGUAAAGCACCAAAAUUGUCCUAGCCAUUUCUUGGCCAUCAGUUUGAGAGAAAAAUGCUUUUUUUUUUUUUUUUUUAACACCUCAAACUCCCCUCAGCCCCAAUAUCCUGGCAUCUUUAGUGAGUCAGGACAAU